GGCGCAGUGGCAGAGAGGUCUAAUGCGUUUGACUCGAAUUUAUUUCGAAACAAGAAAUGAAGCAACCAAUCAAAUCUCUUCGGAGGCGCACGUUCGAAUCGUGCCUGCGUCG